UUGAGGAGGUAGAAUAUUCUUCCUGCUUGGUAGUGUGAAAUCACUUGUUUAUGGCUUCCAUUCAGUCUCCGGUUUGCAGAUAAUGCCCCUUUCUAAGCGGUGAAACUCAUGAAUGUUGAUCUUGCAAAUCAAGCUGACACUAGCAGCUUUUGUCCACCAGGGCGUACAUCAAGGCCUGCCUUCUCCCCAGCACGUUUCCCCCCUCCUCGCCAUGCGCAUCCCAGGCUCCCGGAUUCAUGAAAGGCGCGCUCCGCCCCAAGGCGACCUGAGGGUCUCUAGCAACAAUCCAGGGGCUUGUCUGCCAAGCGCUCGGGCCCCACUUGGAGCGUCCUGUUCAGAGCCUCAAAGAGAGGCCCUGAAGACAAAUGGCCCCGACAGGAGGAGGUCACCCAGUGAAGGGCUGCGGGAGCUCUAGACCCUUGCCCGGAGGCCUAGGCGCUCGUUCUUAAACGCGCAAACCGAGCCAAGCCCGGACAAAACCCGGGCUCCGAGGAAGGAAGCAACGAAACAAUCGCAUUUAUGUAAAGGGAGGAUCGAGGAGAGAGAGAAGGCAAAGCCAGCCAGGAUGCGAGGAUCUGAAAUAAUGAGAUCAGACGGGGGACGGCGGAGGUUAACUACACCCACAGAAGCCAUCGAUAAAAGAGGCUUUGCUGGAAGUCAAGCCGACCGCUGGUUUUUAGAGUGGCUAGGUGGUAACUCUGGAUCCUGCUGUAAUAAGAUGCCUUUUAAUUAAUGCUAACGAGCUAAUGUUUAUUAACUGUUCAAAGCUCCAGAGGAAUAGGUGCGAACUGCAGACCAAAUAUGUCUUUGGGUGUUGUGCGAUGAAUGUGACUGCUGAACGAAUUAAGAAUAGUCAGAGGCACCCUCAUUCUUAGGGAUCCAGGCUCAUGAAUAAAGAUAUUCAUGCGGCCUGGUGCGGUGGCUCACACCUGUAAUCCCAGCACUUUGGAAGGCAGA
rnacentral:lncRNA from 10 species